rnacentral:rRNA from 1 species
CUUUAAGCCCCAUAGCUCAACCAACCACCCAAAACUACUACCCAAAAACAAACAAACCAUUUGAGAAAACCAGUAAAGGAGAUUAAAAGU